UACAGAGGGUGCAAGCGUUGUUCGGAAUUAUUGGGCGUAAAGAGCGUGUAGGCGGUUCGGUAGGUCCGUUGUGAAAACUCGAGGCUCAACCUCGAGACGCCGAUGGAAACCCCCGAACUAGAGUCCGGAAGAGGAGAAUGGAAUUCCUGGUGUAGUGGUGAAAUGCGCAGAUAUCGGGAAGAACACCCGUGGCGAAGGCGGCUCUCUGGGACGGUACUGACGCUGAGACGCGAAAGCGUGGGGAGCGAACAGG
rnacentral:rRNA from 1 species